GAAAUUUUAUCUAAUACACUUUUUCAAAGUUCCGGUUUCAAAAUGAAUUUGUACUACGGUACACAUUUUAAAACAAAAAGGUAAAACCUCAUUGAACCAGCAAAGAAAAUAUCCAACAGUUUCAUUAAUAUAUGAUGAAAUAAAAUGAACAAUAAACAUAUCUCAUAAACAUUUACAAGUAUAAAAGUAAAAGAAUACAUAAAAACAGCCAAUGAAGGAUCGAAACAAAAAUCUAAUGAAGUUAGCCUAAUACAACAACAGACAUUUGAUAGAUAGAUAGAUCUGACAAAGAUGAAAUGAAUGAAUAUCAGCAAAUUCAUGCAAAUUACUGAUUGUGCAUUAUUUGGUCCGAGUACACAGUUAUCGUCCUUUGAUUUUCGUUGUCCACGAAUAUAGUCCUUAGUGUGGACAGUGUGUUACUUGCCAAUUUUUGUUAUACCCCUUCCAAAUUUAUUUCUCCAUGUUUUAUAUAGCAAGUUGGGGGGGGGGGGGGUGAAAUGACACUGUAAAAAAAAUUGGGUCAUAAAUAUUAAUGUAAAGUAGUGAUAAAGUCCAGCUGAAAAAGGUAAAAAAUUAGCACUUCGGAAGCUGUCAAAAGAUUUCAAGACCCCCUAAACAUAAAAUUGUCCAUAUUUUGAGUUAGAGCUGAUGAAGUUUUCUAUAAUUUUGAUAUAAUUUGUCCCCAAAGUAGUACAACACACUGUAAAAAUAUUAUUGAGAAAGCGCAGGUGGGAUUUUUUUAAUUUUCAUUUAUUGUCUAAAAGAAAUGCACUACGAAAUAACUGUGUACUCGGACCAUUUACCCCUAAAUUUUGAGCCAGCUUCUCAGCUUUGUUUAAAAGCGUAUAAAUUCAUUAAAGUUAUUAACAAUAUAUUACAUUCCUCUGGCUGGGUGCCUAAAGUUUAGAUAUAAAUAUAUUAUAUUUGUAGCAUAAUGAGAAUAAUUAUAAAAUUAUUUGUACAGACUUUUUAUUCCUAUCAAUAAAAGACUAAGUAUCAUGUUUUAAAUACAAUGUCCUUUAUUAUGUAUUUUAUACUGUAAUUUUUAAUUCUUUUUGUCUGAGAAAUAAUUAGAACAACACUGAAAUGUAUAUUAUGAAAAAGUUAUACAAUAACAUGCAUGCUUGAUGAUGUUUAAUAAUGAUGUUUCAUAUUAAACAUUUAAACAUAUGUAAACAGUUCAUUUUGCUAUUUAAUUUUUAAAAGUCAUAAUGAUAUCAUUCUGCACAUUAAACAAAAUGAAGAACACACAAACCACAUCUACACUUAUUUCACACAUGUGUGCCCCUCACUUAUACACUUUAACUUACUCUCUCUAUCCAUGUAAUUUUUCUAUUCUAUAUCACAAUGUUCAUCAUACCUAAAUCUUCCAUACCUUCACAUCUUUAUUGACUAAUGUUUUAGGCUAGGAUUGAAUUCUUCCUCACAUUAUUAAGAUGAAUACUGUGGAUGUGAAUACAAGUGCAUAUUAAAGAAAAUGUUGUCAUGGCUAACAGAAGCCCUCUAAAUUGAUCUUAGUCUUGACAUGCAAAACAUGUACAUGUAUGUUUUAGAUGAGAUAAUCUAUGGAUUUUUUUAUUUAAGGGAUUAACACUAGCUAUAUAUAGGGAGAUAUAUAUUAUAUUUAAACAAAGUAAUUUCCAGGUCAACAACAUUUAACACAUUAUUUCAGUUCAUUAAACUCUAAACUUAAGUAGGAAGUAUUGAUUCAGUGAUUUAAAACAAUUGGAGGGUUUGUAGUUUGUUGAAAAUGUAUCGAUAAUUGUCCAUUUCAAACAAGAUGAAUGUCAAACAAAAGACAAAGAUGCCACAAAGUGGUUAAAUUUCUAGUCUCUGAUGAGUUGGUUAUAGUUUCAGCUUUUAAUUUCAAAUAAAACAGAUUCCUAAGAUUUUUAUACAUGAAAAAAGUGAGACCACAGCUGUUAAAAAAUGGGAAAUUACAUGGAAAUAUUUUUCUUCACAGGAAAUAUCAUUUUAACAAAAACUGCCAAAUCUCAAAAAUGUCAGUCCAUGUAAGAGGGGGAGGACAGGGGGUACCCUUCUCCCUUCUCCCACCCCUCUUCUCCUU
rnacentral:lncRNA from 1 species